rnacentral:rRNA from 1 species
UGUUGCUUAGCGUUGGGAGCCUACUGGAACUCUCCUGUAGCUCUCCAAAGUCAGUGGCGGAGCCGGUUCGCACUCCAGACGUAGUAGCUUUUACAUAUCGCCUGUAGCUUGGACCCGGUCCCCUGCCGUAAAACACCCCAAAUCUUAUAGGUUGACCUCGGAUCAGGUAGGAAUACCCGCUGAACUUAAGCAUAUCAAUAAGCGGAGGAAAAGAAACCAACAGGGAUUGCCCUAGUAACGGCGAGUGAAGCGGCAACAGCUCAAAUUUGAAAUCUGGCCCUCGGGUCCGAGUUGUAAUUUGUAGAGGAUGCUUUUGGCGCGGUGCCUUCCGAGUUCCCUGGAACGGGACGCCUUAGAGGGUGAGAGCCCCGUACGGUUGGACACCAAGCCUCUGUAAAGCUCCUUCGACGAGUCGAGUAGUUUGGGAAUGCUGCUCUAAAUGGGAGGUAAAUUUCUUCUAAAGCUAAAUAUUGGCCAGAGACCGAUAGCGCACAAGUAGAGUGAUCGAAAGAUGAAAAGCACUUUGAAAAGAGGGUUAAACAGCACGUGAAAUUGUUGAAAGGGAAGCGUUUGCGACCAGACCUUUUCCUGGCGGAUCAUCCGGUGGUUUCCACCGGUGCACUUCGCCAGGUCGAGGCCAGCAUCGGUUUCCGCAGGGGGAUAAAAGCUCAGGGAACGUAGCUCCUCCGGGAGUGUUAUAGCCCUCCGCACAAUACCCUUGGGGGGACCGAGGACCGCG